UGGACUCAAGCUGGUAUGGUUCAUACAAGCCAACAUCAUUAUGCAACAGCUGCAGUCAAUGUCGAGAGAAUACUGCUGCCCUGGCAGCUAGUAAGACAAAAUGAGGGAGAAGAUGAUGAAAUCAGGUAACACCUGUGGAUGAACUUUUCUUGGAACAGCUUCAUUAUGACUAUUUUUGUCUUGCAAGACUACCACUAGUGCAAUUAGCAAAUUAGUGUAGGCAACUCAGCCUGCAAUUCCAAUAGCAGCAUUUUAGCAAGCAGUUGUCUUGGUUCUCAGCAGCUAUCAGAAGCCCAACAGUAUGGUACUGGCAGGAUUUUGAGUGAAGAAGGACACACUGACAGCAUUCAAACUCGGAAGGAAAGAGUCCCCAUGAGGUGGGGAACUGAAGAAGGAAUGGACAUUUCAGCAACUGAAGCAAUCAAGGGAGGAAAAGGUAAAGUUACUGAGAAAUGUGUCUGGGAAACUACAGUGAUAUAAGGGGGUUUUCUGGCUUUUUGAAAUAGUUAAUAGAUUUAAAAGACUGCUAUGAGCAAAGCCCCGGUAAUGCAAUUGGUACUGAAAUCCUAAUGUCACAACUGGAGAAAUACAUGGAUGUUUAUAUACUAAGAAAAUAUAUAGCAUUAUGUAAAAUAUGAAUCAAUAUACAAAAGACACUUGAAUUAACCCUGAACUGGCUAUUUUCUUGCAUAUUUAAAACAUCUGGUAUAGAACAAUGCCAUACUCUGCAAUUUGUGUAUCUUAAAAUGUGGACUGUUUUUCACAUUUCGGUUUAAUAUCUUUCCAGUAAUUCAGUUCAUUCUGGAAAGGGGAUGGUUGUGUUUUUUUGUUUUGUUUUUCCUUUUUAUACAAAUGGUAAAAUUACAUGUAUAGACUUAGAUAGUAGGUAAAAUAUUGACAAAAUGUAGUAAAAGUAAACUCAUUUAGGAUCUUUCUUUUUCUUAGUCUUUCAUGUUUAAAUAGAUAUUUCAGUACUAAUGUGUUAACUGAUUUCAUGCAUUACUUUAUUUUACUAGACAGGAUAUAUGUAACAUAGUAAUAAUAACCAUGAAAGAAAAAUAACAUCUUUGUUAUUAACUAAAUUGAGGCCUCCAUGAUUCAGUAUUAACUAUUGCUUCCAG
rnacentral:lncRNA from 1 species